GGGCGGGCGUCGGGGCGGACGGCGGGGCGGGGCGGGGCAUGGUAACGGCCUGCAAGCCCAGAGGGCCGGGCCGCAGAGGCGGGGAAACCGGUGUCCGCUGCCGCCGCCGCUCCAGCCCGCUCCGCGCCGCCCCCGCCGCGGCCAUGAUGAUCCACGGCUUCCAGAGCAGCCACCGGGACUUCUCCUUUGGGCCCUGGACGCUGACGGCCACCAAGACCCACAUCAUGAAGUCGGCGGAUGUGGAGAAGUUAGCUGAUGAAUUGCACAUGCCAUCCCUCCCCGAAAUGAUGUUUGGAGACAACAUUUUAAAAAUCCAGCAUGGUUCUGUCUUGGAGAUUGAGUUCAAUGCUACACAUGUUUUAAGAUGUGUAAACAACUACCAAGGAAUGCUUAAAGUGGCCUGCGCGGAGGAGUGGCAGGAGAGCAGGUCGGAGGGUGAGCACUCCAAGGAAGUCAUUAAACCAUACGAUUGGACCUUUACAACAGACUAUAAGGGGACGUUACUGGGAGAUGCCCUCAAGCUAAAGGUUGUGCCUACGACAGAUCAUAUAGAUACAGAGAAAUUGAAAGCCAGAGAGCAGAUUAAGUUUUUUGAAGAAGUUCUCCUGUUUGAGGAUGAACUUCAUGAUCAUGGAGUGUCAAGCCUAAGUGUGAAAAUUAGAGUCAUGCCUUCCAGCUUUUUCCUGCUAUUGCGGUUUUUCUUGAGAAUUGAUGGGGUACUUAUCAGAAUGAAUGACACGAGACUCUACCAUGAGGUAUCUAAUCUCAUUUGAUGAAUGUACUAACUGAUAUUAGGUCUGUUUGUGUUGUUUCAUGUCUGUGUGAGAAUUUGAAUUGAACAGUGCUUUAUAUUCUAUGGCAUGCUUCAUAUUCACUGUUGACUGUGAUUACUGAAACACUCCGUCUUUUCUAAAAGUUCUGGCAACUGAAACUUUAUUCUACAAGACACUCCCUACUGUGGUCUGAUGCUUCUUAAAAAAUUGUGUUUGUACUUCAUCUGUGUUUAAGAAAACUGUCCUUUAACUUUUACCUUUGUUUAUAGUAUGUAUUGUUUACAUCAGCUUUCGCCAACCAGUGGUCGUGGGCCUCUGGUGGUCUGUGAGGUCCAAAAGGUUGGCAACUACUGGUUUACAUAAUGUCCUAAUAUUGGAAAGUUCUUCUAAAGUUUGAAAGCUUGUGCUCCAGCAAAAGGAACUGUUAACAAGGUUUAUAAACAAUAAUGAUGAAGUGUUUUUUAAAAGGACGGGGUGGGGGGUCUUAAAUGGAGCUAUGAAAACUUUUCCAGUAGCUUCGUCAUGGCAUGCCCUUUGUGAAUGAAUUUUUAACUGCAGAUUUGUGGGGUGAUGAGUUAGAGACGAGACUGCAGUAUCAGUUAGGGCGUUGGGUAAUGGUUAGCUCUCCUAACAACCCAAAGAAACAUGGGCUGUGUGAUCUCUGUCUCACGUCAACCACAUGGGACAGCUAAUGGGGCAGAGCUGGGAUCUAGCCCAUAGAAUGGGAUUGGAUUGGUCGUUUCCCAAAUCCUGCACUAGGGAAGGUUUUUUCCCCUUGAAAUAAUAUGGUGGCUGUGAUGACCUUUUUCUUUUUAAAAGUGGAAACAAAAUACUAAAAAUAGGCUGUAUUUUUUUCCUUCAGAAAGGAUGAAGUCAAUCUAAAUUUAAAAAUCAUAUGUUUUAACUCAACAAUAUUGAGUUUUUAUGGAAUUACCCUAAAAAAGAUUCAAUAUACAAUAACCCACAAAUAUGAA